rnacentral:rRNA from 1 species
GACGAACGCUGGCGGCGUGCUUAACACAUGCAAGUCGAACGGAAAGGCCCUGCUUGCAGGGUGCUCGAGUGGCGAACGGGUGAGUAACACGUGGGUGAUCUGCCCCUUACUUUGGGAUAAGCCUGGGAAACUGGGUCUAAUACUGGAUAGGACCAUGCUGUAGGUGGUGUGGUGGAAAGAUUAGUUUCGGUAAGGGAUGAGCUCGCGGCCUAUCAGCUUGUUGGUGGGGUAAUGGCCUACCAAGGCGUCGACGGGUAGCCGGCCUGAGAGGGUGGACGGCCACAUUGGGACUGAGAUACGGCUCAGACUCCUACGGGAGGCAGCAGUGGGGAAUAUUGCACAAUGGGCGCAAGCCUGAUGCAGCGACGCCGCGUGGGGGAUGACGGCCUUCGGGUUGUAAACUCCUUUCAGCCAUGACGAAGCCCUUGUGGUGACGGUAGUGGUAGAAGAAGCACCGGCUAACUACGUG